rnacentral:rRNA from 1 species
UUCCGGUUGAUCCUGCCGGACCUGACUGCUAUCGGAUUGAUACUAAGCCAUGCGAGUCAUUGUAGCAAUACAAGGCAUACGGCUCAGUAACGCGUAGUCAACCUAACCUAUGGACGGGAAUAACCUCGGGAAACUGAGAAUAAUGCCCGAUAGAACAUUAUACCUGGAAUGGUUUAUGUUCCAAAUGAUUUAUCGCCGUAGGAUGGGACUGCGGCCUAUCAGUUUGUUGGUGAGGUAAUGGCCCACCAAGACUAUUACAGGUACGGGCUCUGAGAGGAGUAGCCCGGAGAUGGGUACUGAGACACGGACCCAGGCCCUAUGGGGCGCAGCAGGCGAGAAAACUUUGCAAUGUGCGAAAGCACGACAAGGUUAAUCCGAGUGAUUUCUGCUAAAGAAAUCUUUUGUUAGUCCUAGAAACACUAACGAAUAAGGGGUGGGCAAGUUCUGGUGUCAGCCGCCGCGGUAAAACCAGCACCUCAAGUGGUCAGGAUGAUUAUUGGGCCUAAAGCAUCCGUAGCCGGCUCUGUAAGUUUUCGGUUAAAUCUGUACGCUCAACGUACAGGCUGCCGGGAAUACUGCAUAGCUAGGGAGUGGGAGAAGUAGACGGUACUCGGUAGGAAGUGGUAAAAUGCUUUGAUCUAUCGAUGACCACCUGUGGCGAAGGCGGUCUACUAGAACACGUCCGACGGUGAGGGAUGAAAGCUGGGGGAGCAAACCGGAUUAGAUACCCGGGUAGUCCCAGCUGUAAACUAUGCAAACUCAGUGAUGCAUUGGCUUGUGGCCAAUGCAGUGCUGCAGGGAAGCCGUUAAGUUUGCCGCCUGGGAAGUACGUACGCAAGUAUGAAACUUAAAGGAAUUGGCGGGGGAGCACCACAAGGGGUGAAGCCUGCGGUUCAAUUGGAAUCAACGCCGGG